rnacentral:rRNA from 1 species
UACAGAGGGGGCAAGCGUUGUUCGGAAUUACUGGGCGUAAAGGGCGCGUAGGCGGCCUUCUAAGUCGAACGUGAAAUCCCCGGGCUCAACCCGGGAACUGCGUCCGAUACUGGAAGGCUUGAAUCCGGGAGAGGGAUGCGGAAUUCCAGGUGUAGCGGUGAAAUGCGUAGAUAUCUGGAGGAACACCGGUGGCGAAGGUGGCAUCCUGGACCGGUAUUGACGCUGAGGCGCGAAAGCCAGGGGAGCAAACGGG